rnacentral:tmRNA from 1 species
GGGGGCGUAACGGCUUCGACGUGAAUAGAGAACUGUAAGUUGCAUGCCGAGGUCCUGUCCGCUCGUUAAACGGGUAGGAAAACCAUAAGUGCCGACAACUACGGCUACGCUCUAGCCGCUUAAGGCUAGCAUCUGGGGCUCGACGCCGGGAGAGGGCCCUGAGAUGACGAUAUCCUGGCAAAGCUGCCAAUAACGCCUGCGGGUUGGCGGACAAAAACUAAGCGGGCUAGCCUCUAAGAAUUCUGCCAGCGGAAGUCUUCAGGGGCGAAACUAAAACGCCGGCUAAGCAUGUAGAAGCUUCCAGGGACUAUUGGCGGACGCGGGUUCGACUCCCGCCGCCUCCACCA